rfam:Sporomusa sp. An4 isolate Sporomusa ovata strain An4 genome assembly, contig: SPAN4DRAFT_scaffold-13
GGUACCUUGAAAAGCAGUCCUGCGAGACUGACAAGGUAGACGACAUUUAGUGGGCAAUAGCAUCAUAUUUUAUUCUGUUGCCAGUUGGUCUACAGGCUUCUUGUCAGUUUAUCUGAUAAGAAGUCUUUUUU